rnacentral:lncRNA from 1 species
CUCAGGUACUAUUUCAUUGCCAUGUGAGCUCCAUCCUCGCCCUGCCUGCAGUGUCCAGAGCACUGGACAACCAAGAUACCCCCUGGCCAAAGAAGAAAGCACCAUGGGACAGUCUUCAACAGCAGAACCAAUCCUCUCACUACUCUGGGCUUACUGAGAGACAGAAAUCACUGGGUGAUCCUGCUGUGCUCAACAGACUGACACUGAACAGGAAAUUGGUCUCUAGAUUAUAAAAAGCAAAAGGUAAGAACAACCACUCUUCUCCUACCUGCUGCCGGGGCCACCAGGAGCCGGGCUGCUGCCCUCAGAAGUGGUCAGACUCCAAGGUCUGUCUUCAGCUCCCGCCCCUGGAGCCAGCCCCGCCAGAAGGGACCUGUCAGUGGCUCUGAGGAAGCCCACUGUUGACCUGCAACCGCUUCCUUCUCAUUUCCACAGCUCCUUGAGUACCAGAGUGGGGUAAAGAGAGACUGUCUGAAGAUGAAGCCAUUGCAGAAGAAAGCAGAGCUUAGAGAUGGACAGAAUGGUAACUGAGGUGCAGAGGAACUCCACACAGACCCAGUCGGCCGAUGAAAGCACACAUGCAUCUAAUGCACAGAGCAAUUCUGCAUAGGAACCCUUGGUACAGAGCUGCUGCUCCAAACCUCAUCCUGCAGUGCUUAGUAGCCAGGUGCCCCUCCUCCUCCAUCCAGACCUCCAGAAAGAAAGUGACUGAGCUUGCAAACAUGGCUGGAACAUCAGCAAGGUGCCCCCCAAGAACCAGAUCUGGAAUUUUAAGGCAAUUCCUGAAUGCACUGACAUGUUCUUGGAAACCCCUCUACUUCCUAGAUGUCUUCUGUUGUUAAAAUGCUCUGGGCUCAGACUUCCACCCCUCAGAAAAGUUGACUGGCCCCAAAGAUUUUCUCCUGAGUUAGGAAAUAUAGCUAUAAGUAGAAAAUAUGAGCCAGGCAGAGUUGCACAUGUCUGUAAUUCCAGCUAUGUAGGAGACCACCACCGACGAAGGAGGAUCUCAAGUUUGAGGCCAGCCUGGGCAACUUAGAGAGAUGCAGUCUCAAAAUAAAAUACCAUUUUUAAAAAGAGAUGGGGGUAUGGUUCUGUGGUAAAGCACCCUGGUUUCAAUCUUCAGUAUUACAAAAAGAGUAUUUUAUGUGUAUAUAUAAGUACAGAAACACACAUGUGUAUGUAUAUACUGUGC